AUUGACGGGGACCCGCACAAGCGGUGGAUGAUGUGGUUUAAUUCGACGCAACGCGAAAAACCUUACCUACCCUUGACAUGUCUGGAAUCUUGAAGAGAUUUGGGAGUGCUCGAAAGAGAGCCAGAACACAGGUGCUGCAUGGCCGUCGUCAGCUCGUGUCGUGAGAUGUUGGGUUAAGUCCCGCAACGAGCGCAACCCUUGUCAUUAGUUGCUACGAAAGGGCACUCUAAUGAGACUGCCGGUGACAAACCGGAGGAAGGUGGGGAUGACGUCAGGUCAUCAUGGCCCUUAUGGGUAGGGCUACACACGUCAUACAAUGGCCGGUACAGAGGGUUGCCAACCCGCGAGGGGGAGCCAAUCCCAGAAAACCGGUCGUAGUCCGGAUCGUAGUCUGCAACUCGACUGCGUGAAGUCGGAAUCGCUAGUAAUCGCGGAUCAGCUUGCCGCGGUGAAUACGUUCCCGGGCCUUGUACACACCGCCUACGCAUAUGACUAGUAGCAGUGGGGAUUUUGGACAUGGGCGCAAGCCUGAUCCAGCCAUGCUCGUUCGUGCGGGAAGAAGGCCUUCGGGUUGUAAACCGCUUUUGUCAGGGAAGAAACGGACUGGGUUAAUACCCUGGUUUAAUGACGGUACCUGAAGAAUAAGCACCGGCUAACUACGUGCCAGCAGCCGCGGUAAUACGUAGGGUGCGAGCGUUAAUCGGAAUUACUGGGCGUAAAGCGUGCGCAGGCGGUUAUGCAAGACAGAUGUGAAAUCCCCGGGCUCAACCUGGGAACUGCAUUUGUGACUGCAUAGCUAGAGUACGGUAGAGGGGGAUGGAAUUCCGCGUGUAGCAGUGAAAUGCGUAGAUAUGCGGAGGAACACCGAUGGCGAAGGCAAUCCCCUGGACCUGUACUGACGCUCAUGCACGAUAGCGUGGGAGCAACAGGAUUAGAUAC
rnacentral:rRNA from 1 species